AUUCAUCAACCCCUCCCGUCUUUGCUGACGGGCCGGGGCUGGACGUGGGGGCAUGCGACCGAGAGGCCGCUCCCCUCAAAUGCGUCGGUUGGACCUGUGGGUCGGACUCGACCGGGCGUUGUACCAUCCUCGCUCCGACGAGAAGUUCCCCGUCUAGCGUCCCUCCUCGACCUGCCGUCGUGCGGCGGUCAAAAGGAAAGGCGCGAGCCUUUCGAA
rnacentral:misc_RNA from 1 species